AGUGAACGCUGGCGGUAGGCCUAACACAUGCAAGUCGAACGGCAGCACAGUAAGAGCUUGCUCUUACGGGUGGCGAGUGGCGGACGGGUGGGGAAUACAUCGGAAUCUACUUUUUCGUGGGGGAUAACGUAGGGAAACUUACGCUAAUACCGCAUACGACCUACGGGUGAAAGCAGGGGAUCUUCGGACCUUGCGCGAUUGAAUGAGCCGAUGUCGGAUUAGCUAGUUGGCGGGGUAAAGGCCCACCAAGGCGACGAUCCGUAGCUGGUCUGAGAGGAUGAUCAGCCACACUGGAACUGAGACACGGUCCAGACUCCUACGGGAGGCAGCAGUGGGGAAUAUUGGACAAUGGGCGCAAGCCUGAUCCAGCCAUACCGCGUGGGUGAAGAGGGCCUUCGGGUUGUAAAGCCCUUUUGUUGGGAAAGAAAAGCAGCAGGUUAAUACCCCGCUGUUCUGACGGUACCCAAAGAAUAAGCACCGGCUAACUUCGUG
rnacentral:rRNA from 1 species